rnacentral:rRNA from 1 species
UGACAUCCACGAGUUUUCAGAGAUGAGAAUGUGCCUUCGGGAACGUGAGACAGGUGCUGCAUGCCGUCGUCAGCUCGUGUUGUGAAAUGUUGGGUUAAGUCCUGCAACGAGCGCAACCCUUAUCCUUUGUUGCCAGCGGUCCGGCCGGGAACUCAAAGGAGACUGCCAGUGAUAAACUGGAGGAAGGUGGGGAUGACGUCAAGUCAUCAUGGCCCUUACGACCAGGGCUACACACGUGCUACAAUGGCGCAUACAAAGAGAAGCGACCUCGCGAGAGCAAGCGGACCUCAUAAAGUGCGUCGUAGUCCGGAUUGGAGUCUGCAACUCUACUCCAUGAAGUCGGAAUCGCUAGUAAUCGUGGAUCAGAAUGCCACGGUGAAUACGUUCCCGGGCCUUGUACACACCGCCCGUCACACCAUGGGAGUGGGUUGCAAAAGAAGUAGGUAGCUUAACCUUCGGGAGGGCGCUUACCACUUUGUGAUUCAUGACUGGGGUGAAGUCGUAACAAGGUAACCGUAGGGGAACCUGCGGUUGGAUCACCUCCUU